GUGAGAACAGCCGAUUGGUCCUCGCCUGUCAGUCACCAUGAAGGUAACGCCCCUUCCGGUACCCGCAGAGAAUAAAGUCCUGGAGGCGGGUCUGAGUCUGUGUGCAGGCAGAAACAAGUUGAACCGAAAGCCUCUGAGUGAAGUUGGAGUGGGACCGAGAGCUGUGCAUGAUGCCAAUAGCUGAAGGCGCAGGGUCUUUGGAGUAUGGAAGAAAACUGGAGAUUCCGGAGAAAACCCAUGCAGGCCACGGGGAUAACAUACAAACUCUGCACAGACAGCAACCAUAGUCAGGAUGGAACCCGAGCCUCUGGCGUUGGAUUGACACAAAGUUGGGUCCUGACAUAUGCAGUCUUGUCCAAAGCCACAGCUCAUGCACAGUAUGAUCACAGCCAGGACCAGUGUCGGGGCCAAACUGUAGCACAUCCUCUCAGCCUCC